CAACAUAUUUGAUAUUCAGUAUUUUUGGGGCAAUAUUUGGACAGAUAUUCCAUCAUUCUGACAGUUAUGAGCCCAGGGUUACUACUUAUAACUAAAUCUUAUUUAUCUUUAUCUUUAUCUUGAUAUCUAUCUGAAUCAUACCAACCUUUUUAUCAGUGACAAUAUUGGCAUAUUCUUGAUUCUAUAUCUAAUUGAUCUAUAAUAUCAACUUAAAUUAUUGAUUUUCUAUAUCAAUUCUAUAUCUGCUUGAUCUAUAAUAUCAACAGAUUCCUUGAUUCUCAAUUUUUUAUAUCAAUAAUUAUUCUAUCAAGAUGAC
rnacentral:sRNA from 1 species